CCCUUAGAUGUCCUGGGCCGCACGCGCGCUACACUGACAUGUUCAACAAGCCUCCUAGUUCGACAGGAUUUGGGGAAUCUUUGAACGCAUGUCGUGAUAGGGAUAGAUCAUUGCAAUUAUUGAUCUUGAACGAGGAAUUCCUAGUAAACGCGAGUCAUCAGCUCGCAUUGAUUACGUCCCUGCCCUUUGUACACACCGCCCGUCGCACCUACCGAUUGAAUGUUUCGGUGAAGAUUCCGGAUAGGACUUUUUUGAUUUAUUUCAAUUCUGUCUUAAAAGCUAUCUAAACCUCAACAUUUAGAGGAAGGUGAAGUCGUAACA
rnacentral:rRNA from 1 species